UGAGAUAAAUAGUUCAACUAUUGAGAAAGAGAGAAAGAAAGAUAGAGAAAGAAUAAUAAUCAUUCGAAAAAGAGAAAAGAAGUGAAAAUAAAGAAGGGUCAAGAGACAUUAUAUGAGAGAAAGAUGAAGAAAGCGAGAAGUAUUUAUGCUAGGUUUACAUUGUUGCCUAUCUUAUAUUUAUAAGGUACAAUUGACACGUCAGUUUUUCAUAUAGAGUAGUUUUGCAGCUUAUAGUUUAAUAUUAGUAUUUAUAUUUUAAAAUAGAUAGGAAUAUGUUGAUCGUCCGCAUAUAAUUGAUUCAAAUGCUUUAUUGCUUUUAUGUUUCACGCUGGAGGAAAUACAUGGUUCAUUGUGUCAAUUUUCAUCGGAGGAGGUAGAUGGAUCAUUGUGCUACGUCUCACUGGAGUCAGUUCAGUCGCAUGUAGCAUUGCAGUCAAUUGGUCAAAAUGUCAUGGCGCUAUGGGAGUGAAAACAUAAGGUGUUCGAUUUUUGGGGAAGAAAAAUGCUUGUCGAAGAUUUAUGGUCAUCCAUCAAACAGUGGUCAAGUUUUCAGUGAUGAUAUUGGCGACAUAGAUCGCAACAUUUUCGACGUGGGAUCAACCGGUUUUUUCGGUGUCCAGAAAUUAUGGUUACAAUCGAUAAGGAGGAGAAAAAGAAAUUCGGCUGAUAUGAAGAGCGGUCGUCAUUCUAGAAUUUUUGAGUUUGUGGGAUAGGUUCGGAAUGAU